CACAGAUUGGUGUGGCUUGCACAUACUGACGUGGCGCGCUGCCUCGUGCGCUCCGUCCUGCACCCUCGCAUCAUAUUUCAAGCGCAGUUCCUAAGAUUGACUGCUCA
rnacentral:lncRNA from 1 species